GGAUAUGAGGAUAAAUGUUUGACACCCAGUCUUACUAUAUUUUUUUAUACGUGAUGAGAGAUCGACUAUCUGAUCC
rfam:Glycine soja cultivar W05 scaffold3554_17, whole genome shotgun sequence.